AACGAACGCUGGCGGCAUGCCUAAUACAUGCAAGUCGAACGAGACCUUCGGGUCUAGUGGCGUACGGGUGUGUCACGCGUCGGAACCUGCCCACAGGGUUGGCAUAACUCUCCGAAUGGGGUAAUAAUACCGGAUAAUGCCUUCGGCCCAAAGAUUUAUUGCCCUUGGUUGGGCCGGCGUUGGAUUAGCUGGUUGGUAGGGUAAAAGCCUACUAAGGCGACGAUCAAUAGCUGGGCUGAGAGAAUGAUCAGCCACACUGAGAGUGGGACACGGCCCGGACUCCUACGGGAGGCAGCAGUGGGGAAUAGUGGACAAUGGGCGGAGGCCUGAACCACCAAUGACGCGUGAGUGAUGAAGGCAGUAAAGUUGAAAAGCUCUAUUACCCAGGAAGAUAAUGACGGUACCGGGAGAAUAAGCUCCGGCUAACUCCGUG
rnacentral:rRNA from 1 species